GAACUGAAGAGUUUGAUCAUGGCUCAGAUUGAACGCUGGCGGCAGGCCUAACACAUGCAAGUCGAGCGGAUGAGAAGAGCUUGCUCUUCGAUUCAGCGGCGGACGGGUGAGUAAUGCCUAGGAAUCUGCCUGGUAGUGGGGGACAACGUUUCGAAAGGAACGCUAAUACCGCAUACGUCCUACGGGAGAAAGCAGGGGACCUU
rnacentral:rRNA from 1 species